CCUAUGGGUGACAGCAGUGAGGAAUAUUGGUCAAUGGCCGGAAGGCUGAACCAGCCAAGCCGCGUGAGGGAGGAAGGCGCAGAGCGUCGCAGACCUCUUUUGCCGGGGGACAAAAGGCCGGACUCGUCCGGUCCUGAGGGUACCCGGAGAAAAAGCAUCGGCUAACUCCGUGCCAGCAGCCGCGGUAAUACGGAGGAUGCGAGCGUUGUCCGGAUUUACUGGGUGUAAAGGGCGUGUAGCCGGGCUGACAAGUCAGAUGUGAAAUUCCGGGGCUCAACCCCGGACCUGCAUUUGAAACUGUUGGUCUUGGGUAUCGGAGAGGCAGGCGGAAUUCCUGGUGUAGCGGUGAAAUGCGUAGAUAUUAGGAGGAACACCAGUGGCGAAGGCGGCCUGCUGGACGACAACUGACGGUGAGGCGCGAAAGCGUGGGAGCAAACAGGAUUAGAUACCCUUGUAGUC
rnacentral:rRNA from 1 species